GUUCAGCUGAUGAGUCCCGAAUAGGACAAAACCCGCGUCCUGAAA
rnacentral:hammerhead_ribozyme from 1 species